CCCUAUUUUGUCAGUUGUCUUUCCAUUUUCAUAAUGAUGUCCUUUGAAGAACAAAAGUGUUAAUUUUUAAUAAGUCCAAUUUGCCUAUCUUUUUCUUUUGUUGCUUGUAUCCAAAAUUCAUAUGACUAGUCUGUUGUUUCUUUUCUGGUAUAGCAUGGUCAGCUUUGGAGAUCAAUGUAAUACCUACUUCAUAAAAAUAAAUUCUAAUUUUUUUCUCUUUCAUGAUUUGAAAUAAUUUAAGUAGCAUUAUAAUUAUGUUAUUAUUAAAGACUUGGUUGAAUUCUUCCAUGAAACAAUCUGGAGAUCUUCUCUUUAUGGGGGUGUAUUCAGUUACUUUCUCUAUUUAAGAUCAUUUGUCUGUGUAGACUGUCUCCACUGGGGUCAAUUUUAGUCACCUGCAUUUUUUUCUAAAAACUCAUCUACUUAGUUUACAUUUUCAAAGUUAUUUCCAUAGAGCUAUUGUAAGUAGUACAUAGAGACAAAGAACCUUAAGGAACUUUUAAAAAUUCUUGCCAUUAUACUGAUGCAGACUAUCCUUUCAAACAGCUAUCAAAGAGAGUUAUGUUCUUGUUAGAGAAAGGAACUAUUCUUCUUUAACUUCAGCUAACAGUGAUAAAGUUGAAUUAAAAUGUAAAUUAGGCCAGCUUAAUAAAACACUUAAUUAUUAACCCCCUUGGCUAAAUAACAUACAAAAUCAAUAUACAAAAAUGUAUACCAUUUCUAUAUACCAAUAAAUUUUAAGCUGAGAGCCAAAUCAAGAAUGCAAUCCCUUUUAUGAUAGUUGCGAAAAAACUUCUCUAACCAUGUAGAUCAAAGAUCUCUACAAGGAACAUUGGAAACCACUGCUAAAAGAAAUCAUAGAUGACAUAAAUAAAUGGAAAAACAUUCCAUGUUCAUGGAUUGGAAGAAUCAGUAUCAGUAAAAUGGUCAUACUGCCCAAAACAAUCUACAGAUUCAACACUACUCCCAUCAAGCUACCAACGUCAUUUUUCACAGAACUAGAAAAAAACUAUUCUAAAAUUCAUAUGGAACCAAAAAAGAGCACAAAUAGUCAAUGCAAACCUAAACAAAAACAACAGAUCCAGAGGCAUCACUUUACUCAACAUCCAACUAUGCUAUAAGACUACAGUUACCAAAAUGACAUGGUACUGGUACAAAAACAGAAACAGACCAAUGGAACAGAACAGAGUGCCUAAAGUCACACAUCUAUAGUCAUCUGAUCUUCUACAAAGUUGACGAAAACAAGCAAGGGGAAAUGGACUCCCUAUUCAUUAAAUGGUGCUGGGAUAGCUGGCUAGCCAUAUAAGGAUUGAAACUGAACCUCUACCUUUCACCAUACACAAAAACUAACUGAAGAUGGAUUAAAGAUUUUAAUGUAAGACCUCAAACUAUAAGAAUUCUAGAAGAAAACCUAGGAAACAUCAUUCUAAACAUGGGUCUUGGAAAAUAACUUAUGACUAAGUCCUCAAAAGCAAUUGCAACAAAAACAAAAAUUGACAAGUGAGAACAAUUUAAAGAGCUUCUGCACAGCAAAAUAAAUUACAAACAGAGCAAACUGACAACCUACUGAAUGGGAGAAAAUAUUUGCAAACUAUGGAGCCAACAAAGGUCUAAUAUCUAGAAUCCAUAAGGAACUUAAACAAUUGAAAAAGCAAAAAACAAAUAACCCAUUAAGAAAUGGGCAAAAGACAUGAACAGACACUUCUCAAAAGAAGACAUAUAAGUGGUCAAAAAACAUAUUAAAAAAUGCUCAACAUCCCUAAUCAUCACAGAAAUGCAAAUCAAAACUACAAUGAGAUAUUAUCUCACACCAGUCAGAAUGGCUAUUACUAAAAAGUUAACAAAUGCUGGCAAGGCUGUGGAGAAAAGGGAACACUUAUGCACUGUUAGUGAGAAUGUGAAUUAAUUCAGCCACUAUGGAAAACCAUUUGGAGAUUUCUCAAAGAACUUAGAGCUACCAUUUGACCCAACAAUCCCAUUAUUUUGUAUAUACCCCCCCAAAAAAUAAAUCAUUUCACCAAAAAGACAUAUGUACUUGUAUGUUCAUUACAGCACUAUUCAUAGUAGCAAAGACAUGAAAUCAACCUUGGUGCCCAUCAAUGCUGAAUUGGAUAAAGAAAAUAUAGUACAUAUACACUGUGGAAUAUUACAUAGCCAUAAAAAAGAAUGGGCUUUUUUUGUUGUUGUUAUUGCAGAAAUAUGGAUGCAGCUGGAAGCCAUUAUCCUAAGUGGAUUAAUGCAGGAACAGACAACCAAAUACUGCAUGCCCACACCUAUAAGUCAGAGCUAAGCAAUGGGUAUUCUUGGGCAUAAAGAUGGCAACAAUAGAUACUAUGGAACAUAAGAUGGGAGAGGGAGAGAGAGAGUUCAAAAACUAGCAAUUGGGUACUAUGCUCAGUGAUGGAAUCCAUCAUACUCCAUAUCUCAGCAUGACACAAUAUACUCAAGUAACAAACUUGCACAUGUAAGCCCUGAAUCUAAAAUAAAAAUUGAAUCUAUAAAAAGAAAACAAAAUAUUAUAAUUUUAUAUGUUAUUUGGCUUUAAAAAUGAAUAUUAAACAGUAUUGAAUGAUCCAUUCAAAACAGACUUAUCAGAAGCACAUUUAAUCUUAUCCAUUUUCAGGCAGAAAACAAAUGAGCCUUUUGAAUUUUAAAACAAUAUAUGUAGCAGAUUUCAGCACAAUAUUAUUAUCAUUCUUCUGGGAAUUUGUUGUUAUCAAAAAUGUGUAGUAAUGCGUAUAUUAACUAGCUCAAGUGAACCAUUCUAUAAUGUAUACAUAUUUUAAAACAUCAUGUUGUACAUGAUAAAUAUGAACAAUUUUUGUCAAUUAAAAAA
rnacentral:lncRNA from 1 species